rnacentral:rRNA from 1 species
GUGUCAGCCGCCGCGGUAAUACGUAGGUGGCGAGCGUUGUCCGGAAUCACUGGGCGUAAAGGGCGCGUAGGCGGCUUAGCAAGUCGCAUGUGAAAAACCAGGGCUCAACCCUGGGGGGUCAUGCGAAACUGUUGGGCUUGAGUGCAGUAGAGGUAAGCGGAAUUCCUGGUGUAGCGGUAAAAUGCGUAGAGAUCAGGAGGAACACCGGUGGCGAAGGCGGCUUACUGGGCUGCAACUGACGCUGAGGCGCGAAAGCGUGGGGAGCAAACAGGAUUAGAAACCCCAGUAGUCC